CAAUAGCGUAUAUUAAAGUUGUUGCAGUUAAAAAGCUCGUAGUUGGAUUUCUGGUAGGAGUGACCGUUCCGAACUUGAUUGUUCGUGUAUUGUGUUUUCUCCAGCCAUCCUUGUGGAGAACUUUUCUUGAAUUAAUUUGUAGGGAUUGGGACCCGCAUCGUUUACUGUGAAAAAAUUAGAGUGUUUAAAGCAGGCAAUCGCUUGAAUACAUUAGCAUGGAAUAAUAAGAUAGGACUUUGGUACUAUUUUGUUGGUUUGCAUACCAAAUUAAUGAUCAACAGGAACAGUUUGAGGAUAUUCGUAUGAACAUGUCAGAGGUGAAAUUCUUGGAUUUUGAUCAGACGAACUACUGCGAAAGCAUUUAUCAAGGAUGUUUUCAUUAA
rnacentral:rRNA from 1 species